UACGAAGGGGGCUAGCGUUGCUCGGAAUCACUGGGCGUAAAGGGUGCGUAGGCGGGUCUUUAAGUCAGGGGUGAAAUCCUGGAGCUCAACUCCAGAACUGCCUUUGAUACUGAGGAUCUUGAGUUCGGGAGAGGUGAGUGGAACUGCGAGUGUAGAGGUGAAAUUCGUAGAUAUCGGGAGGAACACCAGUGGCGAAGGCGGCGACCUGGGCCAAUAUUGACGCUGAGGUGCGAAAGCGUGGGGAGCAAACAGG
rnacentral:rRNA from 1 species